GUGUCAGCAGCCGCGGUAAUACGUAGGAUCCGAGCGUUGUCCGGAUUUACUGGGUGUAAAGGGCGUGUAGGUGGAGCUUUAAGUCGAUGGUGAAAUCCUGCAGCUUAACUGCAGAAUUGCCGUCGAUACUGAGGCUCUCGAGUACGGCAGAGGGAGAUGGAAUUCAUGGUGUAGCGGUGAAAUGUGUAGAUAUCAUGAAGAACACCAGUAGCGAAGGCGGUCUCCUGGUCCGUCACUGACACUGAGGCGCGAAAGCGUGGGGAGCAAACAGGAUUAGAAACCCCUGUAGUCC
rnacentral:rRNA from 1 species